GCAAGUGGUGGCAGAGGCAGCAGUGAACAACAAUAGCAGCAGCUAGCACUGACCAACAGUGGCAGCAGCAAGCAGAAGCAGAGAUAACAGUAGCAGUGGUGAGCAGUGGAAGAGGCAGCAGUAAGCAGCCAGCAGUGGCAGCAUCUGCAAGCAGUGGCAGCAGCAGAGUCAUUGCGCAACACCCCUGCUUUAAAGGAUGGGAGGUGAACCAACAUGAACAUACCCCUCAGAGUUCAAGGAACAUUCAUCCGUUGGACUUUCACACUGCCCAUCAUACUGCGGGGGGAGGUGGGGAUUGGGAACCUGAGUCAGAUGAGGAGUCCUAGAAGAUGCCCUUUUUCUAACCUCUAUGCAGAAUUCUUGACUUCCCCUGGGGUGAAGGAAAGGAGACAAAUUUGAUCAAUAAGGAACUUGGCACAACUUCAUUUUGCAGGGGAUCAGCUAUAGAUGGGAAACAAACAUCAGAGUCCUGUCUGUCAAAAGAGAAUGAAUAGCUUAGAUCUUCUGUUCCUGAC